UCCCUGGUGGCUCAGAUGGUAAAGAAUCUGCCUGCAAUGCAGGAGACCUGGGUUUGAUCCCUGGCUUGGGAA
rnacentral:tRNA from 1 species